rnacentral:lncRNA from 1 species
AUUGGAGAUCUACUUACACCUUAUGGGUUUUAUCCCUUUGAGUGGAUCAAUGAGUGUCCAUAUACUGUUGACCUUCAUGGACUCCAUUUCAGAUUUUAUGGCUCCAAGCCACUAAUUGGAGUUGGAUCUCUGUAUGGCAUCCAUGUGGGUGAUCAGAUCCUUAUUGUUCUCAUCGAGUUCAAUAGGAUCAUGUCCUGAAAUUAGAAACUGAAGUAUCUAUCUGAUGGAUGCGGUACUCUACCGAA